rnacentral:rRNA from 1 species
GACGAACGCUGGCGGCGUGCUUAACACAUGCAAGUCGAACGGAAAGGCCUGCUUUUCCUUGUGGUUUGCGGGUACUCGAGUGGCUAAGUGAUGCGUAACACGUGAGUCAUCUGCCCCCAACUUAGUUAUAAGCCUGGGAAACUGGGUCUAAUUCUCUAUAGGACUGCAGGGUUGUGCCUGUGGUGGAAAACUUUCUUCUAGUGGUUGAGGAUGAGCUCGUGGCCUAUCAGCUUGUUGGUGGGGUAAUGGCCUACAACGGCGGCGAGCGGUAGCCGGCGUGGGAGGGUGGACGGCGAAACUGAGACUCGGUUCAGGCCCAGACGCCUACGGGAGGCAGCAGUGGGGACGCUAGGAGAAUGGGCGGAAGCCUGCUGCAGCGAGGCAGCGUGGGGGAUGACGGGCUUGGGGUUGUAAACUCCUUUCGACCGAGAGGAAGCCACCUGGUUGGAAGGGUGGUGACGGUAGUGGUAGAAGAAGCACCGGCUAACUACGUG